rnacentral:rRNA from 1 species
UAAUACGUAGGGGACAAGCGUUGUCCGGAAUGACUGGGCGUAAAGGGCGCGUAGGCGGUCUAAUAAGUCUGAUGUGAAAGGUAACGGCUCAACCGUUAACGUGCAUUGGAAACUGUUAGACUUGAGUAUUGGAGAGGCAAGUGGAAUUCCUAGUGUAGCGGUGAAAUGCGUAGAUAUUAGGAGGAACACCAGUGGCGAAGGCGGCUUGCUGGACAAAUACUGACGCUGAGGUGCGAAAGCGUGGGGAGCAAACAGG